rnacentral:rRNA from 1 species
GACGAACGCUGGCGGCGUGCUUAACACAUGCAAGUCGAACGGAAAGGCCCUGCUUUUGUGGGGUGCUCGAGUGGCGAACGGGUGAGUAACACGUGAGUAACCUGCCCUUGACUUUGGGAUAACUUCAGGAAACUGGGGCUAAUACCGGAUAGGAGCUCCUGCUGCAGGGUGGGGGUGGGAAAGUUUCGGCGGUUGGGGAUGGACUCGCGGCUUAUCAGCUUGUUGGUGGGGUAGUGGCUUACCAAGGCUUUGACGGGUAGCCGGCCUGAGAGGGUGAGCGGCCACAUUGGGACUGAGAUGCGGCCCAGCCUCCUACGGGAGGCAGCAGUGCGGUAUAUUGCACAAUGGGCGGAGGCCUGACGCAGCAACGCCGCGUGCGGGAUGACGGCCUUCGGGUUGUAAACCGCUUUCGCCUGUGACGAAGCGUGAGUGACGGUAAUGGGUAAAGAAGCACCGGCUAACUACGUG